rnacentral:rRNA from 1 species
GAUGAACGCUGACAGAAUGCUUAACACAUGCAAGUCUUUGGCGAAGCUGUGCUUGCACAGCCUAGCCAAGGCGGACGGGAGAGUAACGCGUAAGGAACUUGCCCUGCAGUCAGGGAUAACAGACGGAAACGACUGAUAAGACCAGGAAAAGUUAGGCGGACUCAUGUCCAGCCUGAUGAAAAGAGAGGCUGCAGGAGAGGCUUGCGUCCUAUUAGCUUGUUGGUGGGGUAAUGGGCCACGAAGAGGAUGAUAGGUAGCCGGCCUGAGAGGGUGGACGGCCACAAGGGGACUGAGAGACGGCCGUUACUCCUACGGGAGGCAGCGGUGGGGAAUGUUGGACAAUGGGGGCAACUGUGAUCCAGCAAUUCUGUGUGCACGAUGAAGGUUUUCGGAUUGAAAAGUGCUAUCAGCAGGGAAGAAAAAAAUGACGGUACCUUCAGAAGAAGCGACGGCUAAAUACGUG